UCGGGUGUGGUGUAUGGUGCACGACAGUGGUCUGUACAAGAUUAUAGUAACAACGAGGUUGUAAGCUGCAGGACGGGGUUCGACUCCCCGCACCCGAA